UGAGACUCCAGGAUGACACCCUGGGCGGAAGGUAGACGCUCAACCGCUGAGCCCCACAGAUUACAGCUAUAGGUGAAGAAAAAGUUUUCCUCAACCCUCUUAGGGUCUCUGGCUGGGCCUGAAAAUUAAACUUCCAAAGACAGAUUAACAGGAGAAAAGCAAACACAUUUAUUUAAUAUAAGUUUUACAGAAGAACCUUCAUCAGGAAACGAGGACCACCCAAAAAACCAGAGCUGUGUAUUUUUAUGCUAGGUUGGAUGGAUAGUGGACUGUUACGGAGGAUCGAUUAAAGUGUUCGAGGUAAUUACAGCAAACUGGGGGAACUUGGCAAGGCCCGUCUGUUAGGAUAUUUCUUGGUGUCUCUUUAUCCUCCAAGAGAAGUAUGAGUCUACCUCUCGCAUGACUUUUAUGACCUGUUUCAGAGGAGAAGGGGGAGUGACGAAGUGAAGAGGAGGAGUCAGAAUUACCUUCCUGCUCAGUCUUUUCUCAAACUCUUUCAGCUUAAGAUAUUCAAUAUGCCAAGAUGCCAUCUUUUGGGGUAGUGUGUCCUAAACCCUACCACUACCCCGCUGCCAUAGUUAACCACCAAAUAAAGUAACCAUACUUCA